rnacentral:rRNA from 1 species
CCAGGUUGAUUCUGCCUGACGUAGACGCUAUUCCCUAAGAUUAACCCAUGCAUGUUUUUGACAUUUGAAAAAUGGACUGCUCAGUAAUACUCACUUUAUUUUAUGUACAUUUGAAAUUAACUACGUUAAAGUGUAGAUAAGAUGUGUACAGUAAGAGUGAGACCUAUCAGCUAGUUGUUAAGGUAAUGGCUUAACAAGGCAGUGACGGGUAACGGUAUUACUUUGUAAUAUUCCGGAGAAGGAGCCUGAGAGACGGCUACUAAGUCUAAGGAUUGCAGCAGGGGCGAAACUUGAUCUAUGGAUUUUAUCUGAGGCAGUUAUGGGAAGUAAUAUUAUAUUGUUUCAUAUUUUAAAAGUAUAUGAGGUGAUUAAUUGGAGGGCAAAUCAAGUGCCAGCAGCCGCGGUAAUACUUGUUCCAAGAGUGUGUAUGAUGAUUGAUGCAGUUAAAAAGUCCGUAGUUUAUUUAUAAGAAGCAAUAUGAGGUGUACUGUAUAGUUGGGAGAGAGAUGAAAUGUGACGACCCUGACUGGACGAACA